UACGGGGGGGGCAAGCGUUGUUCGGAAUUACUGGGCGUAAAGGGCUCGUAGGUGGCCAACUAAGUCAGACGUGAAAUCCCUCGGCUUAACCGGGGAACUGCGUCUGAUACUGGAUGGCUUGAGUUCGGGAGAGGGAUGCGGAAUUCCAGGUGUAGCGGUGAAAUGCGUAGAGAUCAGGAAGAACACCGGUGGCGAAGGCGCUCUGCUAGGCCGCAACUGACACUGAGGGACGAAAGCUAGGGGAGCGAAUGGG
rnacentral:rRNA from 1 species